CACUGGAACUGAGACACGGUCCAGACUCCUACGGGAGGCAGCAGUGGGGAAUAUUGCACAAUGGGCGCAAGCCUGAUGCAGCCAUGCCGCGUGUGUGAAGAAGGCCUUCGGGUUGUAAAGCACUUUCAGCGGGGAGGAAGGCGGUGAGGUUAAUAACCUCAUCGAUUGACGUUACCCGCAGAAGAAGCACCGGCUAACUCCGUGCCAGCAGCCGCGGUAAUACGGAGGGUGCAAGCGUUAAUCGGAAUUACUGGGCGUAAAGCGCACGCAGGCGGUCUGUCAAGUCGGAUGUGAAAUCCCCGGGCUUAACCUGGGAACUGCAUUCGAAACUGGCAGGCUAGAGUCUUGUAGAGGGG
rnacentral:rRNA from 1 species